rnacentral:rRNA from 1 species
UACAGAGACUGCAAGCGUUAUUCGGAUUCACUGGGCGUAAAGGGUGCGCAGGCGGCCAAGUGUGUCAGGUGUGAAAUCCCGAGGCUUAACCUCGGAACUGCGCCUGAAACUACUUGGCUAGAGUACUGGAGAGGGUAACGGAAUUCACGGUGUAGCGGUGAAAUGCGUAGAUAUCGGGAGGAACACCAGUGGCGAAGGCGAUCACCUGGGGUUGUUCUGACGCUGAGGAGCGAAAGCUAGGGGAGCAAACGGG